AUACGGAGGGGGCUAGCGUUGUUCGGAAUUACUGGGCGUAAAGCGCGCGUAGGCGGUUAUUCAAGUUGGGCGUGAAAGCCCCGGGCUCAACCCGGGAAUUGCGCUUGAUACUGGCAGGCUAGAGGCCGGGAGAGGGUAGUGGAAUUCCCAGUGUAGAGGUGAAAUUCGUAGAUAUUGGGAAGAACACCGGUGGCGAAGGCGGCUACCUGGACCGGUACUGACGCUGAGGUGCGAAAGCGUGGGGAGCAAACAGGAUUAGAAACCCCAGUAGUCC
rnacentral:rRNA from 1 species